rnacentral:lncRNA from 1 species
GCAUAUUUAAAAUAUAAUGGCAAUUAAUUACUUAAGUAUUGAUAUUUUUUUAAUUUAUAAUUGUAUGGUUUUAUAAUUAUAAUUGUGUAUAAAAAAUUAAUUUAGUUAUUUUAAAUUAUAAAUAUUUAAUUUUAUAUGGAUACAGUUAUAUUACUUUUGUAUUUAUUGCAUUAUAAUUUAUUAUUUAUUAAGCUUUUAUUAUUUAUGUAUAAAUUAUAAUUUUUAUGUCAUUGAUUUUUUGCUAAACAAACAGCAAAACUGAAUAAACUUCACUUCUAUUGCUAUGAAAACAAACAACAAUAGAGAAAUAAUUAUCAUUCGAACUCUACUCUAAUUCAAAGUCUAUUUUAACCCGAAGUUUACUUUAUUUCCUUAGCUAAGAUCUCACGUGACUUAGGAAUUUUUUGUGCCCAAAAAAAAAGUGAGAUUCAGUUAUAACUCACUUUAUCAACACACUUUUAUAAAGUUACUUUCAUAUUCAUUUUUGCAAACCAAAUAACUAAUAAGACGUCACUUUCAAAAAUUGCCAUUUUCGGUGCUUCACUUUGGCCAACCUGUCACGCCCCGGAUUACCGCGUUUCUCCGGGCACGCCAACGGAUCCGCCGUAUAUAAGAAAUUUUUCUUGUAUACGAAGCGAUAGCUGUACCUGUAAACCAAAAAUAAGCUACAACUACAAGAUAAAAGCUGUUAAACAAGAA